rnacentral:lncRNA from 1 species
AUAAAACCACUUCCUCAAAACUCGUUACAAGUUUCUUCUCUCAUUUUUUUACUUUUGAAUUAGUUAGGUAAGAUCUCACCCGAGGAAAAUGCUGAUACUUCACUUGAGAAGCUCUCGUACUUGGGAGAAGCAAGCUAUUUGCAAAGAUUUUUUUCCUUUUGCACCAAGGAUGGAAGAUGGAAGACGGAAGAUGCAUUUGCUAAGUAGGUUUCUCGGAGGCAGGCCAUGUUCCAUGAGCUUUCUUUUAUUGUUUCUCCUUUGCUCUUCAUUCCUCAUUUUGGAUGGAUUCCUUGCAUCUUUUCCUGCUUUGCCACUCUCUCGUCAUAUGAUUCCAGCGACCUUCUUCAUCAAAAAACAAAAAUAAUAAUACUCAUCAUCAACGAGUGCUAGUGGAUGCAGAAGAAGCAAAAGCCUGAAACGUACUUUCUUGCGUCACCCAGAGCAGCAGCAAAACGAGUCAGUACAUGAGAACCUUCGUUCCACAGAGCGAUCACAAGGAAUUAGAUGCAUCAAGCUUUAAGCGUUUGGUUACUUCACCCAAGCUCAAAAGGGAAAAACACCUUCACUAUCGAGGAGCUUCUAACCAAGAAGAAGGAAGAAAAGUCAUAGAUAUGAGAUUGGUCCAAUUUGAUUUAGGAUGAAUGAACGGGGUAACUAAAUCCACUAAACUAUAAAAUAAAUGGAGAAGAAUCGGAAC